AAGAGAACGGAUAAAC
rnacentral:sRNA from 1 species